AAAGGGGGCUUCUGUCGUGAGUGGCACAUGUAGAAGAGCUUGAUGGUUCUAUGUGUGGAAUCGACACCAAGAGAUUUGGGGAGCAUAAUUUUUUGGUACUUGGGCAGCUGAUAAUCAUUGGUCCUGGAGCCUGG